GGGGUGUAGCUCAGUUGGGAGAGCGCCUGCUUUGCAAGCAGGAGGUCGUCGGUUCGAUCCCGAUCACCUCC
rnacentral:tRNA from 1 species